UAGAUUUCUUCAUAAUUUAGAGUUAGACCUUGACCUUGGACAUUGAAGGCAAUCAGAGUUAUCUCUAAAUUUGAUGUAAAUAAGACUGGGGCCUGACUUCUUUUGUAUUUUGUUUUUAAUGAUCUUCAUAAAAAUUGUUUUUGGAGAAAAAUGGAUACAACACUGUGAUUUGCCAUUAUCUUAUGAGAGUAAGCUUCAUGGACAAGCUAUUUCGAUAUGAACAUAAAUGUAAAAUGGGAUAAAAUGAAAAAGGGGAUUACCAACAGAAGAUCCAACUAGCAUUACAUCUUUCUUUGAUAAGACACCUAAAAACACUUUGAAUGGUGGUGCAGACCCCUUUGAAUUGAGGAGAGGAAGGAUAUAUUACUGCUGUUGGAACUGCACUUCCCUUUGGAAAAAAUAAAAUGUGUUAUUGCCACAUACAGGGGGUGAAGAUAAAGAAGACUUACGUCUCCUCUACAU